UAGAAUUAAGGCAGUUCUGAAGGCGAAAGGGGGUCAAACACCGUAUUAGUAUGGUGUUCCUAAUAAUCCUUUAGGUGAGUGUAUGUACUGUAUACUUUUUGCACUUUAAGACAAUUUGAUAUCGAAAUUACCCGCCUUAGUCGCACAGAAAUUGCGAUGCGUCCUGAACAGGCUGUACGCGCUCCCGCGGAUCGUAAUCCGUUUCUGGCAGACAGUCACUUUUUGGCACAACAACUGCACAAACGCGGCAUAUACGAUUGAGACCAGUCUGGUUGAAAUCUGAAACAUAUGGUGGGGCAACUUCGCGCAGGUUCAUAACCUAGUGUAGAGGGGAAGUGCCCUAAGACCCCACCCUAAGGCUGGAAUAAACUCAAAAUAGGGAACAGCUGUUUGAAAGACUGAUGUACAUCUGUGGCAGCUUUUUGACAUUAUCUGUCAAAUAUUUCUCUGUCAUUAAAAUUUGUUGGAAUGCUGAAAUAUAUAGGUUCUGUUAAAAUGAUUUCAUUUACAUGAAAAUUUCAACAGAUAAUUGUAAUUUUUCCCUUUUUGUAAAAAGCUGAAAUACUGUAUAUACAGGCAAAAAUGGAAGUAACUAAAGAUUAGUUGUAGUAUGUGAUCUAUUUAUAUGUUAGAAAUUUAGGGAAAGUAAGAGAUUUGCUACUUCUCUUAUUGGAGCUUGUCUUCAAGAUACUAGCUAACCUCAAUACAAAGUCAAUCCUUUCAUCAUAAUAGAGAAAGAUACAAAUCUGUAAUUUUGUUAAAUGCCUGAAUGGAGAAACCAUUCACAGGAAUGGUUUGCAAGUUUGCUUAGAGUGUAAUGAAAUAGUUUUGUAAUUUAUUAAUUAUUAACAAUUUCUAUCAUUCAACUUAUUAUGCAUUUUAAAGUAAGAACUGCUUUUUUCUUUUUUAAAUUCACCAAUCUAAAACAGAGGUCUUCAGAAGCUUGUGAUGAAGAAUAUCAUGUACGGACUGGGGGAGAUGUACAAGGGAAUGUUUAUCAAUGCACAAGUCAAAAUCUUACAGAAGUUCAUUCCUGAACUUUCUCCCAGUGAUGUACUCAGGGGUCCUGCAGGUGUGAGAGCUCAGGCUCUGGACCGCAAUGGCAACCUAGUGGAUGACUUUGUGUUUGAUGCAGGCCUGGGUGAAGUGGGAAGCAGAGUUCUUCAUGUGCGGAAUGCACCCUCACCUGCUGCCACUUCUUCUCUGGCAAUCGCUGAGAUGAUUGCUGAUGAGGUUGAGAGACGAUUCACUCUAUAGUAUUUCAGGUUUCCAGUACUCGCUUAUUUUGUAAUGAGAGGACUGUCAAAUGAACAACUUCUGGCGAUUCCUAAGUGGGAAUCAAAUUAUGUAAAUGAUUAAAUGUGAAAUAAUUGGAUAAAUGUAAAGUAUAUGUAGUUCUAAAUGAUUUUGAGAUCGAUGGCUGUACACUUCAGAAUGUCUUCAGAAUAUAUGUAUAUUUUUUUUGAGUGGAUCUUCACACCUUUUGCAACAUUGUGGGUUCAGUGGGCUUAAGAAGUUGAUACUCAAUUCAUUUAUAUUAAUUUAGUAUCUCUGGAACAAUGGGUUAGGAAUUGUUUAGCAAUCGUUUACAGUUUAUCAAAGUUUUCAUAAGAUUAUAUACUGUUCUCCAGUUAAUGUGUAUUUGGGCUUUAUAAUAUUUUUGUUUUUACAUAAAACGUAAUUGAAUACUAUUCAACCUAACUGGUUUGUGUAAUUGUAUGAAAUACUUUAUGUAAUGUACUGUUUCAUUUGAGAUGCUAGAAUGUUAAUUGCAUUACCACAAUAUGUAAAAAUGACUUCCUAAUGAGAAUUGUUUAUUAUGUAGGUUAUGGUGUGUGUUAUGUACAGUAAAUGACCAUAAUACAUUUUCAUGUUUCAAGGGUAGUCAAAGCUCUGAAAAAUAAACUUUACUGUUCCUCCACACUAUAAUAAAAUGCCACAGGAAGAUGAUCCCUGCAGGCUUCAAAGCUCUUUACAAUC